rnacentral:rRNA from 1 species
AUUGAACGCUGGCGGCAUGCCUUACACAUGGAAGUCGAACGGCAGCACGGGAGCAAUCCUGGUGGCGAGUGGCGAACGGGUGAGUAAAGUAUCGGAACGUGCCCAGUCGUGGGGGAUAACGUAGCGAAAGUUACGCUAAUACCGCAUACGAUCUAUGGAUGAAAGCGGGGGAUCGCAAGACCUCGCGCGAUUGGAGCGGCCGAUAUCAGAUUAGGUAGUUGGUGGGGUAAAGGCUCACCAAGCCGACGAUCUGUAGCUGGUCUGAGAGGACGACCAGCCACACUUGGACUGAGACACGGCCCAGACUCCUACGGGAGGCAGCAGUGGGGAAUUUUGGACAAUGGGCGAAGGCCUGAUCCAGCCAUGCCGCGUGCAGGAUGAAGGCCUUCGGGUUGUAAACUGCUUUUGUACGGAACGAAAAGGUUUGGCCUAAUAAGCUGAGCUCAUCACGGUACCGUAAGAAUAAGCACCGGCUAACUACGUGCCAGCCGCCGCCGUAA